AUGGUUACCCUUACAAAAACACUGACUUUGGUUCUCAAUACAGUAAGUGCUUUUUGUUGGGGUAGUUUUG
rfam:Gasterosteus aculeatus cont1.007359, whole genome shotgun sequence.